CUUACACCUGAAAAAUGUCUGCUAACAUCAGAUCGUCUUGAUGCCAAACUCUAGCCCAAUCGACAUGACCUGGAAUAACAAAGCUACUCUACACACCUAACUAAAGCAUUCAUUAGUCCUAGUAUAGGCGAUAGAAAAGACACCAUUGGAGCGAUAGAGACUACGUACCGUAAGGGAAAGAUGAAAUAUUAGUGAAAUAACCUAAGCUAAAAACAGCAAAGAUCAACCCUUGUACCUUUUGCAUCAUGGUCUAGCAAGAAAAACCAAGCAAAAUGACUUUAAGUUUGCCAUCCCGAAACCCAAGCGAGCUACUUACGAGCAGCUAUUGUGAGCGAACCCGUCUCUGUGGCAAAAGAGUGGGAUGACUUGUUAGUAGAGGUGAAAAGCCAAUCGAGCUGGGUGAUAGCUGGUUGCCUGUGAAAAGAAUCUUAGUUCACUCUUAAUUCUUCUCCAAGGAAACACACAAACCCUAAUGAAGCGAAUUAAGGGCAAUUUAAAGGAGGUACAGCUCCUUUAAAAAAGAAUACAAUCUCUACGAGCGGAUAAGUACUAACCAACCAAUCUUACUGUGGGCCCUCAAGCAGCCAUCAACAAAGAGUGCGUUAAAGCUCUACUUUUCAAAAAUAUAAGAACAAUACGACUCCCUCCCCAUUAACAGGCUAACCUAUAUUUAAAUAGGAGAAUUAAUGCUAGAAUGAGUAACCUGGGUCCUCCCUCUACGACGCAAGCUUACAUCGGCACAUUAUUAACAAAUUACCAAUAUACGACUAAUCAAACAAGCAGAGUAUUAAGUACAUUGUUAACCCGACAGAGGAGCGUCUA
rnacentral:rRNA from 1 species